GACGAACGCUGGCGGCGUGCCUAAUACAUGCAAGUAGAACGCAGUUGCGAACGGGUGAGUAACGCGUAGGUAAAUGCCUCAUUGCGGGGGAUAACUAUUGGAAACGAUAGCUAAUACCGCAUACUGGGGGAUGGACCUGCUUUGUAUUAGCUAGUUGGGGAGGUAAAGGCAGACCAAGGCGACGAUUCAUAGCCGACCUGGGAGGGUGAACGGCCAAACGGGGACUUGGACCCGGCACAGGUUUCUAACGGAGUCAGAAGUAGGGAAUCUUCGGCAAUGGACGGAAGUCUGACCGAGCAACGCCGCGGGAGUGAAGAAGGUUUUUGGGGCGUAAAGCUAUGUUGUGAGAGAAGCGGUAACUAACCAGAAAGGGACGGCUAACUACGUGCCAGCAGCCGCGGUAAUAC
rnacentral:rRNA from 1 species